ensembl:lncRNA
GUUCCAUAUUUACUUGAAGAAAAACAUCUUUACUUUGAGGGUGGCAGAGUACUGGAACAAGCUGCUCAGAGAGGUUGUGGAGUCUCCUUCUCUGGAGAUAUUCAAAACUUGUGGAGAUAUACAAGGAGUCUGCAAAAAUGCAUUAGAAGCCCACUCCUUAUAUACACUUGCAGCAGCACCAAAAUAUAUCAGCAUGGGACAGUGAAUUCAUUCCCCAGAACGAGUCUUCUCAACAGUGACUGAUGAGCACUCCUGUUUCCUGUUUCAGGAAGGAAGAAAAGUUUUAUAAACAUUAGACUUCAACUUCAGUAGACUUUAAAGGAUUUCACCUCUACCUGAUAUAAAAUUAAGAAUUUUCACUCUACUAAAAUUUGGAUUUGCCUCCCGUUAAUGGGAGAUGGAAGGCCCAUGGAGGAACAGGCUGUCCCCCUGCAGCCCAUGAGCACCAUGCAAAGCAAAUCUCCACAUGCAGCCAUGAAGAAGUCCAUGGUGCAGCAGUGGAUGAGGCCCGAAGGAGGGACAGCCCAUGGGAAGCCCCCACAGGAACACCCCAGGCAGGAACUGCAGCCUGUGGAAAGCCGUCUGUCGUGGGGCAGGAGGGUUGAGGGAGCUGCCAUUGGUGGGAACCCAUGCAGGAGCAACAGGUGACAACAGGGGGCAGUCUGACAAAAUGGCUUCUCACAUGAAAGCGUGUAUGAAGUGGAAGUGUGAAACUGCAUUCAUCCACAUGGGAGAAAUGUCACCCACUGACGUUCAUUGACUUUUAUUGGACAUUUCACAGAAUUGUAGGGGCUGGAAGAGAACUCCAGAGACCACCGAGUCCAACUCCCCUGCUAAAGCAGGCUCCCUAGACCAGGUUGCACAGGUGUAUUGCCUUCAUCUGUGCUCCCAUGGCUGACUCAGUGCUUGCCUCAGGUCAUCAGUCAAGUGGUUGAGACUGUGAUUCAUCAGGUCCAAUAUGCCCAGGCAAGCCAAAAGGGGGGACAUCCAUACUAUAAGGGUGAAAAGAUCAUUAAUAGGCUGCAUUUAUUUUUGUACAGUCUCACUUGCAUAUUUGAAUUAAUAGUUUUGACACAACAUUAAUUUUAAAUUGAGGGCAAGAUGGAAUGUUUAUUAAUGCAUGAUUCAAAGGAAAGAAAGUAGCUAAAUUAUCUAGCAUUUCUUCUGCAUUGCUUACUUUGUACUUUAGAAGUAACUCAUACUUUGUUAUUUCUAUUGAAGGCUUGAAAACAGAAUGUUUCUUUUGACCUUCACUGAAGUCUAGGAAGAACAAGCAGUAGCAUAUGCUCUUUAUUAUUAUUAUUUUUUUUUUACCGGAUUUUAUCAGCAUUUUUCAGAAUAUCAGAAUAUUUAAAAAUGUAUACUAAGCUUUGCAUUUAAAUAACACAGUUUAGCAUUAAUAUUCUGUAAAUAUAUAGUAGUAAUAUGUGGAAAAAAACAGAGCAAGGUCAUCAUGUUUAUUUAAUACGCUGAAGUACUUCUGUCAAUGGUUUACAGGCUUGUUCAGCCCAAUUCUGUGACAAAAGGGGCAGGAGGGACCCACAGACACAUGCCCUGGGAAAGGGAAAAGGGGGAAAAGCAGAAAGGGUAGGAAGAUGGGCCUAAAAACAAAACAGUGGCAACAAUCUGAGGAGGAAAACUAAUUUAGUAAAUAUAAUAUUAGAAUGCAAGAUAACACAAUAUAGUUCAAUAUAAUUAGAAUUGAAACUAAUAAAUCAAAUAAAAUGAGAGUGUGUUAAAAAAGAAAAAGAAAAAAAAAAAAAAAAAAAAACUGAGGGCCUUACUCUAAUACUGAAGGCGAGACUUCUAGCCAGGAUGAGCAGAAAGGGAAAAGGGAGUGGGUCCUCACAACCUGUGGACAGUUUUUAUCUUUCUCUCUGAAUGGAAAACAGAAACAGAGCAACACAAAGUCCUCUGGGGUAUGUACUUCUCUUCUGAGAACAAGGUACCCGUAGCUAUCCAUGAUCCAUGGAACUGGAGCAUUAACUCUUUAGUUCCCAGUGCACUAUAUGAUGUUGUGAUGUGGAAUACUAAUAACAAAAACCAUAAAACGAUGACAAUGUCUUACAGGUGGUAACCUUUCUUUGCUUCUCUUACCAUUUUUGUACUUAACUUUAAUAAUGAUAGAAAAUUCUAUGAUUUUUAGCAGGUCAGGAGCAGUACUUUUCUAACUACUCCUGUUCUACUAUAUUGAGUUGCAGAGGCAGAAUAUUAUACUUGAAUAAAGAAAGUAGAAUUAAUAGAAGAUUUUAUUAUUGUCUAUAUGCAAGUUGUAUCUUUAAUAACAGAAUUUAUGUCCCCUUGCUAAUUAUAGAAUCAAAGAAUCAGUAAGAUUGGAAAAGAUUGCUAAGAUCAAUUGGCACGACCUUCCACCAACUAAUAUUGCUCACUAAACCAUAGGCCUAACUACCACUUCUACAUCUUCCUUGAACACCUCCAGGGAUGGUGGCUCCACGACCUCCCUGGACAGCCUGUUGCAGUGCUUGAACACUCUUUCAGAGAAUUUUUCCCUAAUAUCUAGCUUGAAUCUCCCCUGGCACAACUUACAGCCCUUAUCUCAUUUCUUACUGCUAAUUAUCCAGGAGAAGAGGCCAGGAGAAGAGGCUUACCUCACCACAACCUCCUUCCAGGUAGUUGUAGAGUGCAAGAAGGUCUUCCCCUGAGUCUACUCUACUCCAGUCUAAGCAAUCUCAGUUCCUUCAGCUGCUCUUCAUUAGACCUCACCAGCCUCACCGCCCUUCUUCGGACUCCCUCCACAAUGUCUUUCUUGUAGUGUUGGGCCCAAAACUGAACACAGUAUUUGAGGUAGGGCUUCACCAGUCCUGAGUACAGUUGGACAAUCACCUCCCAGGUCAUGCUGUCUACACAGUUUCUGAUAAAAGUCAGAAUGCCUCUGGCCUUCUUAGACACCAGGGCAUACUGGCUCAUGUUCAGCCGAGUUUCAGCCAGCAUCCCCAGAUACUUUCCUACAGCUCAGCCUUCCAUGCACUCUGCCCCCUGUAGUUCAUUCUUACACUGAGGCAGACAAACACUUCACUCCAGUUUAGUGUCAUCUGCAGAAGUACUGGAAGUGCACUCAAUUCCUUCAUCUAGAUCAGGAUAGUAAGAUCAGGAGGAGUAAAAAUUUUUGCACAUGUUAGAAUAUUACAUCACAGAGUACAGUACAUUAUCCAUUUAAACAAUUUCUUCUGAUUGAUAAGUUUAAAUGUCGUUUAUAAUUUAACUGUUAUCUGUCCUUUCAAAUCCACUGAAAUUAUUUUUACACUGUGAUAGAACACUUACUGGAGAAUACAAAUUUGUCCAAUUUGCAAACUCUUGCACUUGGAAAUAAUGUGCCACAAGGGCUUAACAAUACAAUUUUAAUGGUGUUUUUUUAACAAAGGAGGAAAGAAAUCCUUCUAACUGCUUUUGUAAGAAGGUUUAAGGUGUACCUGACAUCAACUGAUUGGAGGUUGUGCCAACUAUCUAACAUUCAAAUCUAUAUAUACAUAUAUUAAUGUCUUGAUAAGUUUAUGGUUAUAGUUUAAUAUUACCAAACUUCACAAUGUUAGAACUUUCACAGUUCUUUUGUACUUAUCUGUUCACUUAAUUAUUUCUCACACAUAAGAUUAAUUUUAAAGUGUUAUUCUACUUUAAUACAUGUGAAAAGUAUUAAAAAUGAGAAAGGUUCAGGCAUGAGAUAAGUGAAAUGUUCAACAUCAAAAACAAGAAGCCAAGAAUGUUCAUGAAUAUAGUAAGUCCAGAUGGCUUACAGAGUUUUUGAAGAUUUGCUAAUGUGAAGUAUGCAUCAACAGACCCUACCAUCACUUUAGAAUUAUUGUCAUGUUAAAAAUGACAGUACAAGAAAAAAAAUGUAUCCUCUUAAUGACAUGUAUCUUCUUAAUGAUAUCCUCUUUGUGUUCAGAUUCUUCCACUUUUACUCAAAUAAUCUUAUUCUAUCCAGAAUAUAUAAAAACAAGGUAUUACUCUGCAUUGACAAGUGAUGGAUUUAAAUUUUAAGGUGUUUUAAGGUGUAAUUUUGAGUGUGUUUAGUAUUUCCCAGGCUAGGAAAAGGCUAUAGACUCCUAUAAAAUACUGCAUAUUCAAGGAUAUGUUAAGAAAACUGAAACUGAGUGCAGCAUUCUCUUUUG